CCCUAUGGGGCGCAGCAGGCCGGCUUGAGUUCAGGCUGGUUGAUACCGAUCCGAACAAUCUCCAGAAAGCGCUUGCUGGAAAACCCCCGGCGGGAACAGAAAUCCUGUAUGAAGAACGGGAAAAUGAUGCCGGCAAGAUUGUCAAACAACCGAUUCUCGUUUAUACAAAGACGCUGCUGACCGGUGACCGCCUGAAAGAGGCAAAAGUCGGUAUUGACCAAUUUAAUAAACCGGCGGUAUCCAUUACGUUUGACAGUGAAGGCGCACGGAUUUUUGACCGUAUUACCGCAGACAAUAUCGGCAGACUUCUGGCCAUUAUUCUUGACGGAGUCGUGCAUUCUGCGCCGAGAAUUCAAGACCGGAUUGGCGGGAGAGC
rnacentral:rRNA from 1 species